UUGACCUACGGGGCGCAGCAGUGGGGGAUAUUGCACAAUGGGGGAAACCCUGAUGCAGCGACGCCGCGUGGAGGAAGAAGGUCUUCGGAUUGUAAACUCCUGUCCGAGGGGACGAUAAUGACGGUACCCUUGGAGGAAGCACCGGCUAACUACGUGCCAGCAGCCGCGGUAAAACGUAGGGUGCAAGCGUUGUCCGGAAUUACUGGGUGUAAAGGGAGCGCAGGCGGACUGUCAAGUUGGGAGUGAAAACUACGGGCUCAACCCGUAACUUGCUUUCAAAACUGGCGGUCUUGAGUGGUGUAGAG
rnacentral:rRNA from 1 species